UAAUUAAUAAAUAAUAAUAGUUUUUGUUUACAUUCACAAAUCCAAUAUCUACUACCACCGUUUGCAAGAAUGUUAUCAACCCAAGCUGGGGUUAGUUUGUUUAUUUUUCAUUCGUUUUUGGAGUAAUGUUUUGACUCCUUGGCUCUGAAAUUAAGCCACAAAAAAAAAAAGCUACUAUUCCAUAAAGAAACCUACUCCACAAUUCCACGGCUCGCAAUACUCCCACAAACACUGGGGCUCUCCUCCUACUGUGCUCUUGCUGCAGUGCAGACUGCUGCCACCUGCCCUCAAAGAAGAAAUAUUACGGUUCACGUUUGGAAGACAUCUCACCACACUAUGGAUUUAAUCCUGGUUAAGUAUGUUGCCUGUGGCACCCUUAAACACGUGAGUGGCUUAUCAAUUUUCCCCUACUCACCUUCCAUCAUUCCAUUAAUUAUUUCUUCUAAUUUAUAUCCCUCUCUCUUUUUUUGCAGUUGCAAUUUACUGACGUCAUGUCUCACAUGCAUGCCUAACAUUGGACCUGGAUGUGGAUGAGGAGGAAGCAAAUAGAAAAACACAUGAGGUUUUUUCAGCACUUCAUAGUUUUUUGACAUCGAAAUAAUUUCUUCUAUGCCAUUGUCAGUGUAUCACCUCCACACUUCCCAGAGCUACAAAUCUAAACUCAUGCUUUAUCUUGGCCCUGGUAUUUUGAUUCCAUUCUGACCACCAGGGAUCUGAAUGCUGCUCAGCUCCAUGCAAGAUAACAUAUUUAUCAGCAUAUGACACGCACAUUUAACUCCUGAAAAGCUUUCUGUUAAAGACGGAAGAAAGAGUGAAGAUAAUGUUGAAGAUAAAGUUCUUAAAGGGUCCCAGUAGGUUGCAGUUUGCGCAGUCCUCCUUGAUAUAUCAAUCCCCCUUCAAAUCACAGUGUCCCUUUCACAGUCACGUUCUAAAGGUAUGAGGUGUCAUUUUUGUACGAAUUUUUAAAUUGAACUUUUAGGUGUAUUACAUGAAAAUGCCUAUGUGUAAAUAGGGUACAUGAUGAUAAUGGAGUUAGUGCUGUGUCCUGUUUCUUCCCAGAUCAUGCACUUACCCUGAGGAGGAGCAAUGGUCCUGCCAGAA